AGGACGAACGCUGGCGGCGUGCUUAACACAUGCAAGUCGAGCGGAAAGGCCCUUCGGGGUACUCGAGCGGCGAACGGGUGAGUAACACAUGAGCAACCUGCCCCGAAGACCGGGACAACACCGGGAAACCGGUGCUAAUACCGGAUAUCCCUAUCGGACCGCAUGAUCUGAUAAGGAAAUGGAUUCCGCUUCGGGAGGGGCUCGUGGCCUAUCAGCUAGUUGGUGAGGUAACGGCUCACCAAGGCAUCGACGGGUAGCUGGUCUGAGAGGACGAUCAGCCACACUGGGACUGAGACACGGCCCAGACUCCUACGGGAGGCAGCAGUGGGGAAUCUUGCGCAAUGGGCGAAAGCCUGACGCAGCAACGCCGCGUGGAGGACGAAGGCUUUCUGAGUUGUAAACUCCUUUCAGCAGGGACGAUAGUGACGGUACCUGCAGAAGAAGCACCGGCCAACUACGUGCCAGCAGCCGCGGU
rnacentral:rRNA from 1 species